GACGAACGCUGGCGGCGUGCUUAACACAUGCAAGUCGAACGAUGAAGCCUAGCUUGCUAGGUGGAUUAGUGGCGAACGGGUGAGUAAUACGUGAGUAACCUACCUUUAACUCUGGGAUAAGCCCGGGAAACUGGGUCUAAUACCGGAUACGACCAAUCUCCGCAUGGGGUGUUGGUGGAAAGCGUUAUGUAGUGGUUAUAGAUGGGCUCACGGCCUAUCAGCUUGUUGGUGAGGUAACGGCUCACCAAGGCGACGACGGGUAGCCGACGUGAGAGGGUGAUAGGCCACAUAGGAACGGAGACACGGUCCAGAGGACUAAGGGAGGCCGCAGUAGGGAACCGUCGGCAAUGGGAGGAAGCGUGACGGAGCAACGGCGAGUGAGUGAUGAAGGUCUUCGGAGCGGAAAACUCUGUUAUGAGGGAAGAACAAAUGUGUAAGGAAAUAUGCACGUCUUGACGGUACCUAAUCAGAAAGCCACGGCUAACUACGUG
rnacentral:rRNA from 1 species